UCUCUCUCUCUCUCUCUCUCAUGUCAUUCUUUUGCUUCAGCCUCCUUCAACACCUCUUCUUCGGGUUCAAUUUCAUCUUCUCUCUCAUUGCACUGAUUAUCUUUCACUCUCCCCUUCAAUCCUCUACCUUCUUCUUUCUCUAUCUCCUUUAUUAUAGAUGAUUUGUUUAUGGGUUGAUAUUAUUUUAAGGAUUUGGUGUCUGGGUAGCUUGAUCUGCUGAGAAUUUUGAUCAAUUUUGUGUCUGGGUAGCUUGACCAGUUGGAGCACCAAACAUGGAUCAGGACUGUUAUAGAAAUAAGCCAAGUUAUAAGAGUCCAGGACUCUUGUAGAAAUUAAGGUGAAGGGUGAUAGUCCGGUGAAACAAACACCCCCUUAAACCUUUAAACCGAUUUCUUUUUCCCCCUCAAGUAGGAACUGACUAUUCCAUUGCAGAGUGCAAGGAUUUUAUGUGAACUAUUAAGAGAAUAAAAGUUUUGGGGAUACAAAAUGGGGGAGGGAGGGUUUAAGCUACAUGGACAAAAAAUGCAAUAUAGGCCUAACAUGAUCAAAAACUAGAACAGUCCCAAUCUGUGACUCAGAAAAAAUUGACUUCCUCGCAAACUGGAACCUUUGCUCCUCUCGACAUAUACUCUCAUUUGAACUUUAAUGCCUAAAUGCAGUGGUGCAGAUUUAAGGCUCGCAAUUGUUCCACAAGGUAGCCUCUUGCCAUUCUUUCUGAUUCCCAGAUGUCAGUGAAGCCCCCCGGGUGUAUAAAAACAAACUGCUCAAAUAUGGUUCUGCCUCUUUCA